GCCUCGUGUCUGGAAAUCAUGGUGGCUCUCGUUCGUGUUGUACGCGGCCUUUCUUUGGUGUCUGUCGAGAUGAUGAGGAACAGAGCUGCGGGUUCCAUCAUAAAAGUUAUGGAUGGACUUUUGGUAAAAAUGAACAGAAGCAGGACGUGGAUGGUCAUCAGAAAUGAGAAAGCAAAGAUUGAAGAUAUUGGCUAUGGACUUUUAGAAAAAGUCAUGUGAAAAUCCAUCAUCUUAGGAUGUUGAGCUUAAAGGACUUAGUGGUGAAACUUCUAUAAAUGUUCUCUUUCUUCACCAGGUGCAGUCUCAGUUUCUGAGACUGUAUAAAGAUCCUUCAGAAGCCACACUGUGGCAGCCAGUCACCCUGGACCUGGACUUGACCCUGGAUCCAAAGUGGAGUAUCUCAUGCAUUGCCCUGACAUUUAAGAGAGGAAGAGAGCCGUGAUUGGCCCUGGCAGAGCUGUUUGGUUUCCAGACACUUUGUAACCAUGGCCAGCCCCCCACCCUCACCCAAAAUGGCAUGGCUGGCCACGGAGCUGCUCCUUGGGCAGCAGAGGCUGGCAUAUGAGCACGAAAAAAGAAGUGGUGUAUGGCGUGGGUUACCUCUCAGCCAUACAGGAACAGUACAGCCCUGCUUCUGCUGCUAAUGGCCUCCAUAAUAAUCUCUCCCAAAGAGAAUCAUUGAAGAGUUCUUUAAUUUUCAGCUUCAAAAGUAGCCAAGAAAUUGGAGAGACUAAGAUAUCUCAGAAAACCUUUGGCAGUUAGUUAGUGAAAUUGGGGUGACUAAAUCUCCAGAACUCUAGUUGAGGCGGUGUGUAACCUCAUGUGUAGGUGGGACUGGGGUGGUUGUAAGUUGAGAUGAAGUAAUUAAAGUGCAUAAUCUGUUUGAGAGGUGCCUACAGAAGCAUUUCCUAAGAAAUUACUGUGUUGGGUUUACAUUUUGAAGCACAAGUAAAGUCUUUUUUGAAAAAGUUGCCAUACUAGCAUUGUGGAUUUGAGAUUGAAACCUACAGUAAGAAAUUUGUUCUGUAACUUGGGAGACAUUCUUACAAAUUUCACAGAAUAUUACUUAAUCUUUGGAACUUGAUGUUUUCUGAUUUCUUAACUUGCCUGCUGCCCACAGCAUUGCUUUUAACAUUUCAAAUCUAAUGAAGCAUUGAUAGAGGUACUCCAGUUUUGGUGGGAAUGAGGGAAAAUAGAGAAUGGUGGAUCAAAAUGAGUCAGGGCAAUGCCAGGUUACCAAGGCUAUUGAGUUCCUGCAUCACUGUAAGUGACCAUCGGUCCAUCACUGUAAGGUAUUGAAAUAGACUUUGAAGACCAGAGGAAUGAAUGCCUUACGCAUUUCACACUUGACUACAUUCUUUCCAAAGCAAGUAUUUUGUCAUAGGAACAUACUGCUCUGCUGGAGACUGAGGGACUGUUUGAUGUAGCCAAGGUAAAGCCAGCUGGGAGGUUUGGUCCUGAUGCCAAUAACAAAUAACACUGUUCCUGCUAGUCUCACUCCUGCCCUCCAGGCUGCAGGAUGCUGUGCUUUCCCCAAGUAGCUGCUUUAGUAAUUAAAGCCCAAGUGGCCUAUUG